rnacentral:lncRNA from 1 species
CAGCAAUUCCACCUCCAGGUAUAUAUCCAACGGAAAUGAAAUCAGGAUCUCAAAGAGAUGGAAAAGAAAGAGCAGCCCACCUCCGAAUCGCACUGUUGGCCUGCUCGGUCAGACUUGCAUCCCACCACUGCCUAUUUGAGGAAGCUUCCCUCGCUCGCUUUCGGGGAAGCCUCUGCCUUCUAGGUCAGCAGUGACUGUAGUCACCCCCAGGGUCAGAGCCCAGGAAACCAGGCAUGUGGGUUUCAGAAAAAGACUGAUGGGAUCCAUCUCUCCUGAGAAAGGUGCAGACCGGCACUACGGCAGCUGUAAGCUACAGAAGGUCCUGAGGAGGACUCCUUCAAGAUCCUGUCAUAAUCUAAGCUGGAAUACCAUGGUCAUGUACGGCAGACACAGCACAAACUGGCCGCAGCCCGGUGGCAAGUGUGUCAACAGCCAGCAGUGCCCUCUCAGGCAGGACUCGCUGUGGUAGAAUCAAUGAGGAGCCGAGAGCAGUCCAGAGGCAAGCCCCUCCACUGAACACUGAGUCUACAAUCAUGCCCAGGAUUUACUUUAAGGAGGUGGGGAGUGACGACGCGAGAGGCCAAUGCCACGGAAAGUGGAAUUACAUUUCCUGGGAGAAGGGGGUAUGCCACACGACACAGGGCCACAGGGGAAGCACCAGGUUUGCCGAGGAUGCAGAAACAGGAGCGAGGAGAAAGGUGAGGCCAGAGCCUUUGUUGGUGUUUCUGCAGGAAAGGCAGGGCGUGGCAGAGUCAACAGUUUAGGCUUGCCUAGUUUCAAUAAUUCUGGUGAGGGUCGGCUUUCGGGGUGGUCUCUAGUUGCCUGGUUCCUAACCCUGGGACGAUUUAGGUCAGGGGCAGUACUGGCUUAGUGUGUGUGUCAGAUAAAGGGGGAAGGUGGGGCUGCAGACUCUGGAUUGGUUGGUCCGCAUAUGAAACAAGGGCCCCCUGCAAGCCCUCUGCUGUCUCUAAGAACUGGCGAGUACUGGGUGGGGUCGUCUCUCCCUAGCCAGCAAGUUUUUUAAGAUGUCAAAACAUCACAAAAUACAGAAAAUAAAAACAUGAUUGAUACACUGCUGCUG